ACGGCCCUACGGGUUGUAAACUGCUUUUAUACCGGAAUAAACCUCGAUACGUGUAUCGAGCUGAAUGUACGGUAAGAAUAAGGAUCGGCUAAACUCCCGUGC
rnacentral:rRNA from 1 species